rnacentral:rRNA from 1 species
UACAGAGGGGGCAAGCGUUAUUCGGAAUUAUUGGGCGUAAAGGGCGCGUAGGCGGCUUGGCAAGUGGAAGGUGAAAUCCCUUGGCUUAACCGAGGAACUGCCUUCCAGACUGCUUUGCUUGAGGCCGGGAGAGGCGAGUGGAAUUCCCAGUGUAGCGGUGAAAUGCGUAGAUAUUGGGAGGAACACCAGUGGCGAAGGCGGCUCGCUGGACCGGUUCUGACGCUGAGGCGCGAAGGCGUGGGGAGCAAACAGG